rnacentral:rRNA from 1 species
AGAGUUUGAUCCUGGCUCAGGAUGAACGCUGGCGGCGUGCCUAAUACAUGCAAGUCGAACGCACAGCGAAAGGUGCUUGCACCUCUCAAGUGAGUGGCGAACGGGUGAGUAACACGUGGAUAACCUACCUCAAGGUUGGGGAUAACAUUUGGAAACAGAUGCUAAUACCGAAUAAAACUUCGUAUCGCAUGAUACAAGGUUAAAAGGCGCUACGGCGUCACCUAGAGAUGGAUCCGCGGUGCAUUAGUUAGUUGGUGGGGCAAAGGCCUACCAAGACAAUGAUGCAUAGCCGAGUUGAGAGACUGAUCGGCCACAUUGGGACUGAGACACGGCCCAAACUCCUACGGGAGGCUGCAGUAGGGAAUCUUCCACAAUGGGCGAAAGCCUGAUGGAGCAACGCCGCGUGUGUGAUGAAGGCUUUCGGGUCGUAAAGCACUGUUGUAUGGGAGGAACAGCUAGAGUAGGGAAUGACUUUAGUUUGACGGUACCAUACCAGAAAGGGACGGCUAAAUACGUGCCAGCAGCCGCGGUAAUACGUAUGUCCCGAGCGUUAUCCGGAUUUAUUGGGCGUAAAGCGAGCGCAGACGGUUGAUUAAGUCUGAUGUGAAAGCCCGGAGCUCAACUCCGGAAAGGCAUUGGAAACUGGUCAACUUGAGUGCAGUAGAGGUAAGUGGAACUCCAUGUGUAGCGGUGGAAUGCGUAGAUAUAUGGAAGAACACCAGCGGCGAAGGCGGCUUACUGGACUGUAACUGACGUUGAGGCUCGAAAGUGUGGGUAGCAAACAGGAUUAGAUACCCUGGUAGUCCACACCGUAAACGAUGAACACUAGGUGUUAGGAGGUUUCCGCCUCUUAGUGCCGAAGCUAACGCAUUAAGUGUUCCGCCUGGGGAGUACGACCGCAAGGUUGAAACUCAAAGGAAUUGACGGGGACCCGCACAAGCGGUGGAGCAUGUGGUUUAAUUCGAAGCAACGCGAAGAACCUUACCAGGUCUUGACAUCCUUUGAAGCUUUUAGAGAUAGAAGUGUUCUCUUCGGAGACAAAGUGACAGGUGGUGCAUGGUCGUCGUCAGCUCGUGUCGUGAGAUGUUGGGUUAAGUCCCGCAACGAGUGCAACCCUUAUUGUUAGUUGCCAGCAUUCAGAUGGGCACUCUAGCGAGACUGCCGGUGACAAACCGGAGGAAGGCGGGGACGACGUCAGAUCAUCAUGCCCCUUAUGACCUGGGCUACACACGUGCUACAAUGGCGUAUACAACGAGUUGCCAACCUGUGAAGGUGAGCUAAUCUCUUAAAGUACGUCUCAGUUCGGACUGCAGUCUGCAACUCGACUGCACGAAGUCGGAAUCGCUAGUAAUCGCGGAUCAGCACGCCGCGGUGAAUACGUUCCCGGGUCUUGCACUAACCGCCCGUCA